rnacentral:rRNA from 1 species
UACGGAGGGUGCAAGCGUUGUUCGGAAUCAUUGGGCGUAAAGCGCGUGUAGGCGGCUUGGCAAGUUAGUUGUGAAAGCCCGGGGCCCAACCCCGGAAUUGCAUCUAAAACUGCCCGGCUAGAGUCCCGGAGAGGAAGGCAGAAUUCCCGGUGUAGGGGUGAAAUCCGUAGAUAUCGGGAGGAAUACCAGCGGCGAAGGCGGCCUUCUGGACGGUGACUGACGCUGAGACGCGAAAGCGUGGGGAGCAAACAGG